UGCAAGUCGAACGAUAUCAUCCAGCUUGCUGGAUGAGAAAGUGGCGCACGGGUGCGUAACGCGUAUGCAACCUACCUUAAUCAGGGGGAUAGCCCGGAGAAAUCCGGAUUAAUACCGCAUAAAAUCACAGUCCCACCUGGGACAAUGAUCAAACAUUUAUGGGAUUGAGAUGGGCAUGCGUGUCAUUAGCUAGUUGGCGGGGUAACGGCCCACCAAGGCGACGAUGACUAGGGGAUCUGAGAGGAUGGCCCCCCACACUGGUACUGAGACACGGACCAGACUCCUACGGGAGGCAGCAGUAAGGAAUAUUGGUCAAUGGAGGCAACUCUGAACCAGCCAUGCCGCGUGCAGGAAGACUGCCCUAUGGGUUGUAAACUGCUUUUAUCCGGGAAUAAACCUCUUUACGUGUAAAGAGCUGAAUGUACCGGAAGAAUAAGGAUCGGCUAACUCCGUGCCAGCAGCCGCGGUAAUACGGAGGAUCCAAGCGUUAUCCGGAUUUAUUGGGUUUAAAGGGUGCGUAGGCGGCCUGUUAAGUCAGGGGUGAAAGACGGUAGCUCAACUAUCGCAGUGCCCUUGAUACUGAUGGGCUUGAAUGGACUAGAGGUAGGCGGAAUGAGACAAGUAGCGGUGAAAUGCAUAGAUAUGUCUCAGAACACCGAUUGCGAAGGCAGCUUACUAUGGUCUUAUUGACGCUGAGGCACGAAAGCGUGGGGAUCAAACAGGAUUAGAUACCCUGGUAGUCCACGCCCUAAACGAUGAACACUCGCUGUUGGCGAUACACAGUCAGCGGCUAAGCGAAAGCGUUAAGUGUUCCACCUGGGGGAGUACGCUCGCAAGAGUGAAACUCAAAGGAAUUGACGGGGGGCCCGCACAAGCGGAAGA
rnacentral:rRNA from 1 species